AGAAUACACAAGCCUGUAGUUUGUCUAUAGUAUAGCUAAUUUACAGUAGCUAUGAACCUGCAGUUUAAAGAUACCAACGUUGCUGAUACAGUCGAGAAGCUUAAGCAGAAAUAUUUGGAGAGGAGGAAACAGUUGCCACCGCCAGAAGACAUUACCUCAGGAAGCAGUGAUGAGGCAUUUCGACAGCUCAUUUUGGUCAACCGAUCCAAACGGCCAAGCAAAGAGUUGAAAUGCUACAGCAAAGCUCUACAUGAGCUGAUCAAAGCGGUUUCUAACCAUCCUUGCCAGUUUGGCAGUGAUCAUGAUCUGCAUGACAGUAAUGAGGACCUGAGUGGAGACUCUACAGCUACCCCGCUUCAGGACUCCCAGGUGCUGUUUACAGAAACAGAUGUGACCUUGCCUUCCUGUCUGGAUGAUAGCCCCGGGUCCCAGGAAAAUGAGACCGACAGGAAGUUGCAGAGAGCUCGCCAACUCCCUGACUCAUGCCGUUCCUCUUCCUUAGUACUAGUGAAGGUGUACCAGGAGAUGAUGACCAUCUACAAACAACUAAAGGUGAGAAAGCAGAACCAUUGUAACGGCGUUUAUCCGUGAAUCCAGAUGGGGCAAAUACAGAACAGAGAAGCUGACCCGGUGUAAGAUUCCU
rnacentral:lncRNA from 1 species